CGCUAUGAAGUCAGAACUCGACGGCGCAUGAGGUCACUUCCACCCAAUUGAAGGCAUCGGAGGAAUUGUCGAAAUAGCAACAGAUGGUUCUGGUUCGGCCAUGACUGCAGACUCGGCUUGAUCUCUCGCUGAUGGAACUAAGAUCAGCGUCAUCUCAGCCGCUGCCGACAUAAUGGCUGUGACAUCACCAUCUCUUAUUGGUUCUUCUCCAACCAACAGCACAUCGAU
rnacentral:lncRNA from 1 species